GUCGCCGCGUCGCCUCAGCACGGACCUCCAGGGAGCUCCUCAGCAAGAUCCUGCCAGGGCGCCCCUCAGCGCGAUUCUGCCGGGGUGCCUCUCAGCGUGGUCCUCCCCGGGGCUCCUCAGCACGAUUCUCCCGCGCGGCACUCUCCCGGCGGCUCCUCAGUGCGGUUCUCCCAGACUCUCCUCAGCGCGGCCCUCCCCAUCUCUCUGGGAGGGUUUGAACACGGUCAGCACGGACCUGGGCGGACGGCGCGGGACGGGUGAUCACUGGCGUUGCUGAGGGCAACUUGGCAUUAGAAUGACGUCAGGAUUUUCCAAAUCUGUUAAGUUCAACAGGACUCCACUCAAACUUCCAGUUGGAGGGCUUGAGUAAUUUAACAAACAUAUUCUAAAAUGUAUGUGGAAGAAAAAUAUUUGUAAAUGCCAACUGAACUUUUGAAAAGGAGAGCAGAGGACUUCUGCUGGCAGAUACCAGGGCACACGCCAACUUCAGCAAUCAGAGCGGUGUGGUGACAGAGGCCCAGAAGAGAGCUCAGAGGUAACUCCAAGUCUAGAGGAAGGGGACAUGUGAUAAAGGUGGCACCACAUAUCAGUGGGGACUGUUCAGAAGAUGAUGUUGGAAAGCCAGCCCUAAAAUGGAGGAAUAGGAAUAUGGAUUCCUAACUGAGCCCCUAGGAAAAGUAGACUCCAAAUGGACUAAAUAUUUGAAAGCAAAAGGUAGUUGCCAUUUGUUUAAUAGGAGAAAAAAUGAAUAAUCUCCAGGGCCAGGGUGGCCGUGGGGUUCUUAAACAGGAUCCAGAAAGCACAAACCUCAAGACUAAAAUGUAUGAACUUGAAUGCAUUAAUGAUUAUGGAUUAAGGAUUUCUGUUAAAUAAAUCCAUCAUGGCAAGGGUCAA
rnacentral:lncRNA from 1 species